UACGAAGGGGGCUAGCGUUGUUCGGAAUUACUGGGCGUAAAGGGCGCGUAGGCGGUGUGUCAAGUCAGGCGUGAAAGCCCCGGGCUCAACCUGGGAACCGCGCUUGAGACUGGCACGCUCGAGUUCGGGAGAGGAUGGUGGAAUUCCCAGUGAUAGAGGUGAAAUUCGUAGAUAUUUGGGAAGAACACCGAUGGCGAAGGCAGCCAUCUGGACCGACACUGACGCUGAGGCGCGAAAGCGUGGGAGCAAACAGG
rnacentral:rRNA from 1 species